GCUGAAACUGGAAUUAGUGGAUUUAAGCAGGUGGAUGCCACCUAUCCUCCCAAGUUCCUUGGGGAUCCAUUGGCUCAUUUAUGGUAUUUAAUGACAAACUGUAUCAAAAAGUUGGCAUCGCUCUUUUUAUUCAGGAAAAAAAAGUGCAGGUGAGUUGCUCAUCCUCUGCCAGACAAAAAGCAAUGGGCAGAAAGAGGAAGAAAGUAGUGAUUUCCUCAUAAAUAUCUUUGCUAGCCUUACCCCAUAAGUAGGGGACAAGGUAUAAAAGCUACAGGUUUUGGGAGUAAAUAGGCUUGUAGCAGUCAAGCACAGCUUGUUUGCAUUAGCAACCAUCAGCUGUGAGGUGAUGGCUUAAGGAAAUGGAUAGGUACUGAGACCAGGGUUAUAAAGAGGCAUUUUGCAGCCAUUGGGUAUGUCCUGUGUUUCUCUUCUUUUCCUGUUCUGCUAUUCAAGCAGCUGUCCCCUGUCUUGAUUUCAACACAGAUUGUUGUGUCGGGGCACUGGGACCUUCCAGGAGAAGCAUUUGUGAUUCUUCAUUGCAUGCACUCAAAGGCAACUGUCCAGGAAAGACUCCACAGUCUGCAGCAGCCCAGGGGAGCAAGGAUGUGUCACCAGCACAGCAGCUCUGACUCGGGUCCAUGGGGAGAGAAGUGAUGCACAUGCUCCCUGUAAUAGCUUCUCCAGCCUGCUCACUCCAAUAAUAGUCUCCGUGUGUGAAAUUUCACCUGACCUGAACUUUCCCGAGUUUAUCCAGCCUUCACCCUGACAGUUCAGAGCAGAACUGUUUUUAUGCCUCGCAACCCAGACACCAAAUUGGAGCUGAAGUGACGUUUAUUGUUUCAACAGUGUUAUUAUAUGAAGAUUGAGCUCAUUACAAACACGACCUGUUUUUGAGCCAGGACACAUAUUAAUUUGGAUAAAAUACCAGCUGUGUCCUCUCUCCAUAUGGCCUUAUCAGGAAAACAAACUGGGUUAAGUUUCAUUCCAAAGAAUGAAAAUGUAAUUGAAUACUUGCUUCGUUUGAGGAAACUCAAAUAAUCAUUAUCGUCACGUCUCUGCUAAUCGCAGCAGAGAGGGGGCAGAGGUGUUUAUUUCUGUGCAUAUCUAAAAAUAAACCAAGGCACAAUUCCUGUGGGGG
rnacentral:lncRNA from 1 species